GCCCAAGUGGCGGAAUUGGUAGACGCGCACGUUUGAGGGGCGUGUGGAGUAAUCCGUGCCGGUUCGAGUCCGGCCUUGGGCACCA
rnacentral:tRNA from 1 species